UACGUAGGGGGCAAGCGUUGUCCGGAUUUAUUGGUCGUAAAGAGCUCGUAGGUGGUUCGGCAAGUCGGAUGUGAAAUCUCCAGGCUCAACCUGGAGGGGUCAUUCGAUACUGCCGUGACUAGAGGUCGGUAGGGGAGUGUGGAAUUCCUGGUGGAGCGGUGAAAUGCGCAGAUAUCAGGAGGAACACCCGUAGCGAAGGCGGCACUCUGGGCCGAUACUGACACUGAGGAGCGAAAGCGUGGGGAGCGAACAGG
rnacentral:rRNA from 1 species